rnacentral:rRNA from 1 species
UACGUAGGGUGCAAGCGUUGUCCGGAAUUAUUGGGCGUAAAGAGCUCGUAGGCGGUCUGUCGCGUCGAAUGUGAAAAUCCGGGGCUCAACCCCGGACCUGCAUUCGAUACGGGCAGACUAGAGUUCGGUAGGGGAGUCUGGAACUCCUGGUGUAGCGGUGAAAUGCGCAGAUAUCAGGAGGAACACCGGUGGCGAAGGCGACUUACUGGACACAUAUUGACGCUGAGGUGCGAAAGCGUGGGGAGCAAACAGG